UACGUAGGGGGCUAGCGUUGUCCGGAAUCAUUGGGCGUAAAGAGCGUGUAGGCGGCUCGGUAAGUCCGCUGUAAAAGUCAAAGGCUCAACCUUUGAAUGUCAGUGGAUACUGCCGGGCUAGAGUCCGGAAGAGGCGAGUGGAACUCCUGGUGUAGCGGUGAAAUGCGCAGAUAUCAGGAAGAACACCCGUGGCGAAGGCGGCUCUCUGGUACGUGACUGACGCUGAGACGCGAAAGCGUGGGGAGCGAACAGG
rnacentral:rRNA from 1 species